rnacentral:rRNA from 1 species
GAGCUUGCUCUUUUGCUGACGAGUGGCGCACGGGUGCGUAACGCGUAUACAAUCUACCUUUUACAGGGGGAUAGCCUUUAGAAAUGAAGAAUAAUACCCCAUAGUAUCCACUUAUCGCAUGAUAUAAGGAUUAAAAUUUCGAUGGUAAAAGAUGAGUAUGCGUUCUAUUAGCUAGAUGGUGUGGUAACGGCACACCAUGGCGACGAUAGAUAGGGGCCCUGAGAGGGGGAUCCCCCACACUGGUACUGAGACACGGACCAGACUCCUACGGGAGGCAGCAGUGAGGAAUAUUGGACAAUGGGCGAGAGCCUGAUCCAGCCAUGCCGCGUGCAGGAAGACUGCCCUAUGGGUUGUAAACUGCUUUUAUACAGGAAGAAACCACAGAACGUGUUCUGUGCUGACGGUACUGUAAGAAUAAGGAUCGGCUAACUCCGUGCCAGCAGCCGCGGUAAUACGGAGGAUCCAAGCGUUAUCCGGAAUCAUUGGGUUUAAAGGGUCCGUAGGUGGAUAAUUAAGUCAGGGGUGAAAGUCUGCAGCUCAACUGUAGAAUUGCCUUUGAUACUGGUUAUCUUGAAUUAUUGUGAAGUGGUUAGAAUAUGUAGUGUAGCGGUGAAAUGCAUAGAUAUUACAUAGAAUACCAAUUGCGAAGGCAGAUCACUAACAAUAUAUUGACACUGAUGGACGAAAGCGUGGGGAGCGAACAGGAUUAGAUACCCUGGUAGUCCACGCCGUAAACGAUGGUCACUAGCUGUUCGAACUUCGG